CGGCCCCGUGGGCCCCAGUGUUGGGGGUGAGUUUGACCCCGGUUGGAGAGAGCUACCCCUGGGCAGGUGCUUCCUUGGCCUCGCCCCUGUGCAGCCCCCAUUUCCACGCCCUGGAAGUGACCCCUGCCGGGAGAAAGUGGGAGCAUUUGGGAGCAUGGUAGCGGCAGGCUUGUGGCGGACACGCGGACCGUGCCUGUGCGAAACCUUCAGAACCCGCAUUCGCCCCAGCCGCUCCUGGACCCAGGUCCACCCGUGCCGGAUCCCUCCCUGGCCACCUUCUGGUCCAGACCUGACUGUCACCUGCUCCACAUUUUCCUGGCUCCCCUGCUCGAUCCCGGCCUCCCAGGGAGCCGAUCUGGUGGGAUCAGACUUGGGAUUUUCAAAGGGAAAAAAGCUGAAUUUUCUUCUUUAGAGUUUUUGUUCUUAUAUCUGACUCCUGCUUUGCAAAAGCAUCGUGUUCAUUUUGGAAGCAGCUGUGAUGCUUGUUUCUCCAGGAGACAAAUUAAUAAAUUAAGAAGUCACCGCCACUGCCAGGCACCAGUCCCCCUCAGGAUCACUGGAUGUGAGGGGGGCCCGGUCCCCGAGCUCCCGCAUCGUGUUUCAGUGUCAUUGGAAAGGACACAGACUUCAGGGUGGUUCACGGCUGCUUCCAAGGUGUGGCAGUGUGGACAGCACCUGUCCCACUCCCCUCGAGGUGUCUGUGUGCGCACAGGGACAUUUAAACGCCCACAGAGAUACGUACUGAGCGCCUAGCUGUGGCCGGGAGGGGCAGGGCCUGGUAAACCCAGUGGGCAGGCAGGUGGCACAGGCAGUGUCUGAGGAGGGGUCUCUUGAGCAGAGACUCAUGCUAUGAGGGCCUUGCUGGCCAUCAGGGUGAGCUUGACCCAGAAGCUGCCGGCAAGGCCAGAGGUCCUGGCUGGAACUGGGCCGUGUCUGUAGGGUGGGGAGUGCCCAGGCACUGGCGAGCACUGAAAAUAGAGCCAGGCCCUGGAG
rnacentral:lncRNA from 1 species